rnacentral:rRNA from 1 species
GACGAACGCUGGCGGCGUGCCUAAUACAUGCAAGUAGAACGCUGAAGGAGGAGCUUGCUUCUCUGGAUGAGUUGCGAACGGGUGAGUAACGCGUAGGUAACCUGCCUGGUAGCGGGGGAUAACUAUUGGAAACGAUAGCUAAUACCGCAUAAGAGUAGAUGUUGCAUGACAUUUGCUUAAAAGUUGCAAUUGCAUCACUACAAGAUGGACCUGCGUUGUAUUAGCUAGUUGGUGGGGUAACGGCUUACCAAGGCGACGAUACAUAGCCGACCUGAGAGGGGGGUCGGCCACACUGGGACUGAGACAAGGCCCAGACUCCUUCGGGGGGCAGCAGUAGGGAAUCUUCGGCAAUGGACGGAAGUCUGACCGAGCAACGCCGCGUGAGUGAAGAAGGUUUUCGGAUCGUAAAGCUCUGUUGUAAGAGAAGAACGAGUGUGAGAGUGGAAAGUUCACACUGUGACGGUAUCUUACCAGAAAGGGACGGCUAACUACGUG